rnacentral:rRNA from 1 species
GAUGAACGCUGGCGGCGUGCUUAACACAUGCAAGUCGAGCGAAGCACUUAUGAAAGAUUCUUCGGAUGAUUUCAUUUGCGACUGAGCGGCGGACGGGUGAGUAACGCGUGGGUAACCUGCCUCAUACAGGGGGAUAACAGUUGGAAACGACUGCUAAUACCGCAUAAGCGCACAGUACCGCAUGGUACCGUGUGAAAAACUCCGGUGGUAUGAGAUGGACCCGCGUCUGAUUAGCUAGUUGGUGGGGUAACGGCCUACCAAGGCGACGAUCAGUAGCCGACCUGAGAGGGUGAUCGGCCACAUUGGGACUGAGACACGGCCCAAACUCCUACGGGAGGCAGCAGUGGGGAAUAUUGCACAAUGGGGGAAACCCUGAUGCAGCAACGCCGCGUGAGUGAAGAAGUAUUUCGGUAUGUAAAGCUCUAUCAGCAGGGAAGAAAAUGACGGUACCUGACUAAGAAGCCCCGGCUAACUACGUGCCAGCAGCCGCAGUAA